GAGGAAACCACAUCACGUCUUUGUUGUGAUUAUCUCUCCCCAUCUUUCAGGGGUGUAACAUUAUGGAGGCACCACCGAGAUGGCGCUUCAGAUGUCCGGUGUUCACAACCUGCAGCAGACAAGUUCUCCCCACAAUACAACUCAGGCGUGCUGUAAUGAGAAAAGGCGCUGCUGUUCGAGGAGAGCUGGACCCUGGUGGUGGAGUACACGUCACCUGAGGCCAGUCAGAGAUCAUCGGGGACAUCCAGUUCAGAGCCAACUCCUGCACAAUUGAAGUGAUCAAAGACGACUGCUGGGAGACUGGCUCGAGUGUUGUAAGGGGAGCAGUACUGAGGGCCAAGCAGAUGGUGAAGAACUUUGUUCUAAAUUGAUGCUGAGAUCCCUCCCAAGAACACUGUUGAACAAUGCCAAACCAACGUUUGCCCAAGAACAACAGCAGAAAUUAAGAGGAGCUCAUAAUGAUCUGGAAUUUAUUCCUGAGGCUGGCUGCAUUAAGAGUGCUGACUUGGCAAUUUGGCCCUUGAGACUACUGGUGUAUGACAAAUCACAAGUAGUAAUGUUCACAUGGCAUACCAAUGUUUACUUUGAUGUCACUUACAAUAACUUAAACCAUGCAGCUGAAACUCCUAAAUAGCGGACAAACUAAACAUUACAGCAGGUCCUAACCCAAUGAUUUAACUCUGUUUUGAUAUAAUGAAAGUGCCUUGUUGAUGCUAGGCUUUUGAGUGUCAGACUGUCCCCGAAUAAGUUCCUUCUUUAACUUUACAUUGUUAAUGAUUGUUUCCACUCUCUCUCCUCCUCCUGCAAUAUUAUCAUGAUCAAAUGCAAGACACCGAGUUUCAUCAUGUACGUCAGUGAGAGUAAACCUAAUUCUGUUUCUGAUUCUGACGUCUGACCAGCUCCUUGGGAUCACUAAUUAUCUUCCUAAUCCCCAAACUCACCCUGAAAACUCCCCUCCUUAUUCACCAACAAGAUCCCUUGUGGUAAACUGAUAUGGAAGAUCAAGAAGAUCUAGAUUGACUUGGUAGAUUGUAAACAAAACUGAUUGCUCAUUGAAGAGAAGACAGAAGCUAGCAGUGGAGGUGUGUUUCUUUGACUGGAGGUCUGUGACCAGAGAUGUUCACAAGAUAUACCAAUCAUGCCACCUACUGUAUUCCUAGACUGUCAUGUUUGUUCAUGCAAAUGAUGCA